rnacentral:rRNA from 1 species
GAUGAACGCUGGCGGCGUGCCUAACACAUGCAAGUCGAGCGAGAAAUAAAGAACUGACGCUUCGGUAGAUGUUCUUUAUGGAAAGCGGCGGACGGGUGAGUAACGCGUAGGCAACCUGCCCCGUACACAGGGAUAGCCUCGGGAAACCGGGAUUAAUACCUGAUGAUGCUAUUUUGCUACCUGGCAGACUAGUCAAAGAUUUAUCGGUACGGGAUGGGCCUGCGUCUGAUUAGUUAGUUGGUGAGGUAACGGCUCACCAAGGCAACGAUCAGUAGCCGACCUGAGAGGGUGAUCGGCCACAUUGGAACUGAGACACGGUCCAAACUCCUACGGGAGGCAGCAGUGGGGAAUAUUGCACAAUGGGCGCAAGCCUGAUGCAGCAACGCCGCGUGAACGAAGAAGGCCUUUGGGUCGUAAAGUUCUGUCCUUGGGGAAGAAACAAAUGACGGUACCCAUGGAGGAAGCCCCGGCUAACUACGUGCCAGCCGCCGCCGUAACAC